rnacentral:tRNA from 11 species
CGUGGCCUUGUGGUAUGGCGCCUGAUUGCUAUGCCAAAGGCCGUGGGUUCAGGCC